GAGACUUUUGUAACUACGUACAGCGUUUAUAGAGGAAAAGGAGGUAACUAGGUCUAGUGAUUUUCCCCUUUUACGAAACGAAUCAUUAUUCUUUAAUCAACAAAAAAAUUAAUUUUAGCAAUAGAAUAAAUUCUGAGGAAACAAACAUAGGCAAACAUAAAAUUAUUCAAGGAAACUAUUUGUUGAAUUCUAUACGGAAUUUCAAUUAAAAAUGGGGUUACUGGGUAAAUAGGACAACUGCUAUAUAGGCACACUGGGGGAAGAGUAUUCAUAAUAUUGGUUUACGCAUGUUAUCAGUAACGUACGUGCUAUUUUUAAAUUCUAUAUACGCUUUAUUAAUAAUAGAAAAUGUAUGAAGUCAUCAAAUAAAAUACGUCUCUGGUCAAAGCGGUGCAUUGAUACAGAAGGCCAAUGAGAAGGCGAUAUUGUUUAUGCACUUCCUUUCAUUUCGAACAAAAUCAGCCCAAAGAAAGAAAAUUGUACAAGUCAUUAUACGUAGUCUGAACAAACAGAGAGGGUAAACAGCAAGGGGGCUCCACCUGUAAAUAGGGGCUAAUCUAAUUGAAAAUACUAUAUCGUAGUAAUUUUACAUAAGUAUUAAAUAUAGGUAACAUAGAGGUCAUGCAUAAUGUUACCAUACGUGCAGUUGCAAGAUUAUUCGAUCUUCAUUUGAAAUAGGUCGAACAGAAUUUACUAAACCAUACAAACGGCAAACUGCACUUGCAUUUUGAAUUAUACUAUUAUUUCACGCAUUAUCAGACACAAUUAUUCGUAGUUUAUGAUCGUAUGUUAUCAAAAGAUAACAUAAAUCAUAAAUCUUCGGAGAUAGACGAAGUGUUAGAAAAUUUCGGAUAUGUGAAUAAACAUUUUCGUAGAUCGCUGUCGAGAAAUAAAAAUGGAAAACAUGAGUGGUGUGUGCUGUCGUUACCUGAUAAUAACACGAAAUAUUUUCGUGCAGCAUCGGAGACAAGACUUCAUGAACACUUCAUUUGUCUCAUCAUCUUUAUCAUCUAAACAUAUACGUAACAACUCUAAUUCAGUGAUACCAGUUAAGCUUGCAUACGCAUCGUACGAGUCAAUGAUGGGAAGCAAAAAUGUAUCCAAACAACCUAUUAUAAUAAUGCAUGGUCUGUUCGGUUCAAAGCAUAAUUGGAACUCUUUAUCGAAAGCGAUCCAUCAGCAAACAGAUCGUAAGGUAAUAACUGUAGACGCAAGGAAUCAUGGUGAUUCUCCACAUUCUACAGAAAUGUCCUACAAGCAUAUGGCAAAGGACGUGGUUCAACUUAUGAACGACUUGGGAUUUGAGAAAUCUAUACUGAUAGGGCACAGCAUGGGAGGCUCUACAAUGAUGUAUGUAGCCUUGCAUUAUCCAGAACUAGUAGAAAAAUUAAUAGUAAUAGAUAUAUCUCCUGUGAGGACUAGUCCUCAACUUUUGGAACUUAAAAAGAUAUUCCAUAUUAUGCGUACUUUGAAACUAACCGGAAGCCCGUCGUUAACAAAAGCACGUAGACUGGCGGAGGAUCAACUUGCAACCGUUGUCAAACAUUUGAGUUUACGUCAGUUUUUAACAAUGAACAUAGUGGAAGCUGAUAAUGGACACUACAAAUGGCGAAUUAAUUUACCUGUACUCGAACAAAAUUUUGAAUCGAAAAUAGCUAAAUUUCCAGAGUCAGAGAACGUUUACAGAGGACCGACAUUAUUUAUAGGAGGUGCAAAUAGCGAUUAUAUAGUAGCAGAAGAUCAUGAUAAGAUUAAAAAAUAUUUCCCCUCCGGCCAGCUUAUAUACAUAAACGAUGCAAAUCAUUGGGUUCACGCGGAUAAACCGACCGAGUUCCUAAAGAUCACAGUUGAUUUCAUUAAUCAACCAUGAUCGUAAUUAUGGUACCAAUGGUCAAAUAAGUGAAAAAUAGCAAAUUAAAAUAUAACUGUACACAGUGUGAACAAACUUGUAAAUUCUGUGUCAGCUUGGAAAACAUUUUAUCAAAACUGGAAAAUAGUUCCACAUAAGGCCAUGCUUUAAUAUAGGAUAACUAUUCAAAAAGUAAAAUUCCAACAAGAUCGUUACAUUAUUAAAAUAUAAUACGCUUGAUCACAGAGGUGUUCAAUAAAUUAUGUAAAUUCAAUGAAUUACAU